rnacentral:rRNA from 1 species
GACGAAGGGGGCUAGCGUUGUUCGGAAUUACUGGGCGUAAAGCGCGUGUAGGCGGUUGCCCAAGUCGGGUGUGAAAGCCUUGAGCUCAACUCAAGAAAUGCACUCGGUACUGGGUGACUAGAGGACCGGAGAGGAUAGUGGAAUUCCCAGUGUAGUGGUGAAAUACGUAGAUAUUACCAGGAACACCAAAUGGCGAAGGCAGCUUGCUGGGCCGUUUCUGACACUCAGACACGGAAAGCGUGGGGAGCGAACAGGG